rnacentral:rRNA from 1 species
UGAAUACGAGACGCUAAGGCGUCGAAGUAGUGUAUGUCAUACUUCCAAGAAAAGCUUGCACUGUCAUAGAUAAAAAACGCCUGUACCAUAACCGACACAGGUGGGUAGGUAGAGUAUACUAAGGGGCGCGAGAUAACUCUCUCUAAGGAACUCGGCAAAAUAACUCCGUAACUUCGGGAGAAGGAGUGCCUUAUUCGUAAGGUUGCAAUAACAAGAUCCAAGCAACUGUUUAUCAAAAACACAGGUCUCCGCUAAGUCGUAAGACGAUGUAUGGGGGCUGACGCCUGCCCAGUGCCAGAAGGUUAAAGAAGUUGGUUAGCAAUUGCGAAGCUGAUAACUGAAGCCCUGGUGAACGGCGGCCGUAACAAUAACGGUCCUAAGGUAGCGAAAUUCCUUGUCGGGUAAGUUCCGACCCGCACGAAAGGCGUAAUGAUUUGGAUACUGUCUCGGAGAGGGGCUCGGUGAAAUAGACUUGUCUGUGAAGAUGCGGACUACCUGCACCAGGACAGAAAGACCCUAUGAAGCUUUACUGUAACUUGAAAUUGAAAUUGGACUUUAUUCGCGCAGUAUAGGUGGGAGGCGUUGAUUAUAAUCUUGCGGGAUUAUUGGAGCCAUCAGUGAGAUACCACUCUUGUAAUGUUAGAUUUCUGACUUUGAAUCAUUAUCUGGUCAAAGAACAGUUUCAGGCGGGCAGUUUGACUGGGGCGGUCGCCUCCUAAACGGUAACGGAGGCGUACAAAGGUUUCCUCUGAACGGUUAGAAAUCGUAUCUAGAGUGUAAAGGCAUAAGGAAGCUUGACUGUGAGACCUACAAGUCGAGCAGGGACGAAAGUCGGUCUUAGUGAUCUGACGGUACUGAGUGGAAAGGCCGUCACUCAACGGAUAAAAGUUACUCUAGGAUAACAGGCUGAUCUCCCCCAAGAGUUCACAUCGACGGGGAGGUUUGGCACCUCGAUGUCGGCUCAUCGCAUCCUGGGGCGGUAGUACGUCCCAAGGGUUGGGCUGUUCGCCCAUGAAAGCGGUACGCGAGCUGGGUUCAGAACGUCGUGAGACAGUUCGGUCCAUAUCCGGUGUAGGCGUUAGAAUAUUGAGAGGAGCCUUCUUUAGUACGAGAGGACCGAGAAGGACAUACCUCUGGUGUACCAGUUAUCGUGCCAACGGUAAACGCUGGGUAGCUAUGUAUGGAGUGGAUAACCGCUGAAAGCAUCUAAGUGGGAAGCCCACCUCAAGAUAAGUAUUCUCAC